CUCGUCUCCCGCUCCACCGCCGCCGCCCCAUCUCCCGCUCCACCGCCGCCGCCCCAUCUCCCGUCUCCAGUCGCAGCCGCCGCCGCACCCCAAUCCAACCCCGCCGCCGGCGAUCUCCUCGCCCCCCUUUGCCGCCGCCCCCAACCUUCUAUUCCUCUCCCAAAGGAAUCCCAAGGGAAGGGAAGGGAAGGGAAGGAAGAGGGAGCGCCCAGAUCCACGGCGGCAUCAGCGCGCCGUCGUCGACCUGAUCCACGUCCGUCCUCGAGGGAGGUCGGCCAUGGAGGUCCGACCUGGCCCGGCAACAGCCAUGGACGGACGGAGACGCCCCAAACCCUACCCUCAAGGACGACGCCUCAACCUUCAAGGACGCGCGCCGGCGACCGCGGAUCUCCGGUGACGGCUAUGGAUGACUGCCCCGGAUCUGGACGCACGACCUGCAGCUGCAGCAGCAGCUGGACGACCGAACGCACGAGCCCUCCCUCCCUCCCUCAUGGCUAUGCUUCCUCUACCCUGCCCCCUCACGUGGGCGUGGUCCCACAAAUAGAAGCGUUGCUCAUAUGCUCCUGAAUCAGGUGAGCAGUAUGAUGGAGUUUACAGAAUUGAGAACUGUUAGAUAAAGAUUGGUGUUCAGGGCAGGAGCAUAGAUGGUGCACAGGAGAGCUGCCUUGUCAUUGAUAGAGGAAGUUUGAGAGCAUGCUAAUUGAGCAGGGAAGAGAAAUAAAAUGAAAACGAAAAUGAGAAACAAAAGAGAAGAAUGUUAUGAUCUCAUGAUAAUGUCGGCCACCAGCCAGCGCCCACAGGAGUAUACCUAUAGGCGGUCCAAAGGUUAUCUAGGUUGGUAAAAAGCAAGGCCGCCUCAUAGUUGAGGAAGAUGAUGUGCAACCGAUGAAGAAGAUAUAUUAGGAUGGAACUUGAGGCAUUUUGUGGAUUAGUAUCUAUAGUUUUUUUAUGCCUAUAAAGCAGAGGUCUGUGUGACAAAACAGAAGUAUCCAUGAAUUACUACUUUAUAAGAUUUAGGUUCCACUAUAAUGUUGUUGAUGAUAGCCAAGCCGCCGCCUCUCCGCCGAGAAAGAAGGAUCCCGAUCUCCGUCGUGGUCGACAAACAGCGCGACGGGCGGAGCACCCAGCCCAUAGGCUCAUCCCCUUCUCCGAUCCACUCCGGCGGCGGCCAUCGUUGUCAAGGCAUCGGUUCAUGUGGUUUCCUGCUGCUGGCAUAUAGAUGCAGACGAGAGGAAGAGAGCCUCCCCCAAGCUCUGUCUAGGCGAUGCACAAGCGACGGCCACCCUUCCUGUUAUUACCUCCAUGGCUGGCUGCUCAUCCCCAGGAACCUCCUCCCCUCUCACGUGCGCCACACUCUGGGAUUAAGUUGGAACACAGGUAUCUAGGGCAGGGCGCGGUCACAUUGCAGGCAGCAAGGAGCAGCACAAAGUUGUCUCGGUUGUGCCCUGCAUCGAGGAGGAACACAGUGUAGAUGUUCCGGGAUUGCUAGCUCCUGCCAGAAAUACUACAUGGUAGUCUUGAAGUAAAUACCAAUCAUGUGAUCCGAUAUGUUGUUUCAGAACAAUAGACCAUCAAUAUUAUUUUCGCCUCGGGUUCUAGAGGAGGACAGCUAAUUAAGAGAAAACUUCGGUGGGAUAGAGACAAAAAUUUGCUAUAUUUCACAAUACCCAAACAGAAUUUCAUUGUUGAUUCUUCUGCCCUGAACUUUGCCCAUACCAAUUACAUUUUGUAGACCCUUUUUAAGGAAACUGCUUCGUUUACACCAUCCCAUUGACAUGUCUAUUAGCAGUAAUGAGACUUAAACGAACACUUCUAGGCUAGAUAUUAUUAAGGUGUUGUGUAUGUUGGUCCUUUUUAUAGAUCUUGCCAUCUUUGUUUGCAAGGUGACCAGUCAUUUAAAGUAUUUGAGAAUCCUGAAGGGAAGCACAUGGCAAAGCCAUAAUUACCUUUUAGUUAUAUUUCAAGUUGUAGGAAAGUUGGAAUCAAUUUGGAAAGCAUCUUUCUAUUGCAGAUAUUUUAUUAGUGGCUUGAAGACUUACACUCCGUUUGAUGUUAUAGAAAUAGUGAGGUUAUGCCACAAUGCUGAUAGACUUGGUACUUGUAGGAUGGAGAGGAGAAGACUGAAAAGGAUGUUGAUAUGAGGAAUUCAAGGAAGUGGAAGAGGAAGAAAGUUUUGAUGAUGGUGAUAAUUAGAAUAUCAAGUUUGACGACGAUGAUGAUUGGAACCAAGAGGAGGAAGUACCUGCCGCUAAAACCCACCAAAGAAUUAGCAAGAAAAUUGAUUGUGGGAGCUAGCAAUGCCGGCAGUGCCUCCUUUAGGAUUACAAAAUCGUUAAUUCUAUCUUCGCUUGCAUGUGACUGAUGGUGAUGCUACACAAAUUCUGAAGGCAGUGCCCUCCCCUUCAGUAGGAGAUCUUGCUGGUUCUGCAUGGCACAAUUGGAUUAAAUAUGCUACAGCAAGCGAAGGAGUUAAACGAUGUUGUUGGAAACAAAGGAUUCAUCCUAAUGAAAUUAGACGGGACUGCUCGUGUUGGCUAUGUGGUGAGUGUUCAUAGACGAACAUGGAGUUCCAGCCAAGUUUGUUGGCGUCGGUGAAGGGGUGGAAGAUCUCCAACCUUUUGAUGCAGAAGCAUUUGUUGAAGCCAUUUUCCCAUAAAUUUUACCCAGUUAUUAGUGUUUCUCAUGUAACAAGAUUUUGGCUAACAUGCUACUCCCUCCGUUUCUAGAUAUAUGUCUUUUAGGAAUUCUAAUAUGGACUACUCCCUCCGUUCCUAAAUAUUUGUCUUUCUCGACA